GACCGCACACUGGCACCCUCUCGAAAAUCCUCUUUCUUUUCCAACUGAACCAACAAGCGUAAGUACUGCAGAGGUACAGCACCAGAAACAUGACCACUAUUUAUGUCUUAUAAUUUUAUAUUUUAAUUUGGCCGUAGGUGUGAAUGUUAGCAUGAAUGGUUGUCUGUGACAGGCUGAUGAUGUCUUGAGAGUGUACUCUGCCCUUUGCUUAAUGACAGCUAAGAUAGACUCUCAAUCCACUCUCAAUUAGCCGAUGACCUGCUCUAUCUCCUGAGCUACAGCCAGCACGAGUCGAGCUACAGUUUCUAGACUCUGUAAAGUUUUUGUUGCAAAAAGAUUGGUUUUUGGUCAGUCAAAAAACCCCAUUUGAAUAGUUUUUACUAUCAGUGUAGUGUCACUCAGAGAAAAACAUAAGAACAAUAAAGCUGACAGUCCCAGCCACAGAUGAGCUGAUAGGUUUUUU